AGAGUUUGAUCCUGGCUCAGGAUGAACGCUGGCGGCGUGCCUAACACAUGCAAGUCGAGCGAUUCUCUUCGGAGAAGAGCGGCGGACGGGUGAGUAACGCGUGGGUAACCUGCCCUGUACACACGGAUAACAUACCGAAAGGCAUGCUAAUACGAGAUAAUAUGCUUUUAUCGCAUGGUAAAAGUAUCAAAGCUUUUGCGGUACAGGAUGGACCCGCGUCUGAUUAGCUAGUUGGUAAGGUAACGGCUUACCAAGGCGACGAUCAGUAGCCGACCUGAGAGGGUGAUCGGCCACAUUGGAACUGAGACACGGUCCAAACUCCUACGGGAGGCAGCAGUGGGGAAUAUUGCACAAUGGGCGAAAGCCUGAUGCAGCAACGCCGCGUGAGCGAUGAAGGCCUUCGGGUCGUAAAGCUCUGUCCUCAAGGAAGAUAAUGACGGUACUUGAGGAGGAAGCCCCGGCUAACUACGUGCCAGCAGCCGCGGUAAUACGUAGGGGGCUAGCGUUAUCCGGAAUUACUGGGCGUAAAGGGUGCGUAGGUGGUUUCUUAAGUCAGAGGUGAAAGGCUACGGCUCAACCGUAGUAAGCCUUUGAAACUGGGAAACUUGAGUGCAGGAGAGGAGAGUGGAAUUCCUAGUGUAGCGGUGAAAUGCGUAGAUAUUAGGAGGAACACCAGUUGCGAAGGCGGCUCUCUGGACUGUAACUGACACUGAGGCACGAAAGCGUGGGGAGCAAACAGGAUUAGAUACCCUGGUAGUCCACGCCGUAAACGAUGAGUACUAGCUGUCGGAGGUUACCCCCUUCGGUGGCGCAGCUAACGCAUUAAGUACUCCGCCUGGGAAGUACGCUCGCAAGAGUGAAACUCAAAUGAAUUGACGG
rnacentral:rRNA from 1 species